GCCCCGAUAGUUCAAUGGAUAGAAUACGACCCUCCUAAGGUCUAGAUGCAGGUUCGAUUCCUGCUCGGGGCACCA
rnacentral:tRNA from 1 species